rnacentral:tRNA from 1 species
UCCGGCGUGGUCUAGUGGCUAGGAUACCUGGCUUUCACCCAGGAGGCCGGGGUUCGAUUCCCGGCGUCGGAA